rnacentral:rRNA from 14 species
CUGCUCUGAGAACGCUCAAUCUUAUCUGAUCGUGGAAGCUAAGCAGGAUGGGGUUUGGGUCUUGCCUAGGGUUAGGUGACAAUAUAGGAGAACCAAAA